AUCUUCCGCAAUGGGCGAAAGCCUGACGGAGCAACGCCGCGUGAGUGAUGAAGGGUUUCGGCUCGUAAAACUCUGUUAUUAGGGAAGAACAAAUGUGUAAGUAACGGUGAACAUCUGGUCGGUACGUAAUCAGAAAGCCACGGCUAACUACGUUCCAGCCGCCGCGGUAAUACGUAGGUGGCAAGCGUUAUCCGGAAUUAUUGUGCGUAAAGCGCGCGUAGGCGGUUUCUUAAGUCUGAUGUGAAAGCCCACGGCUCAACCGUGGAGGGUCAUUGGAAACUGGGAAACUUGAGUGCAGAAGAGGAAAGUGGAAUUCCAUGUGUAGCGGUGAAAUGCGCAGAGAUAUGGAGGAACACCAGUGGCGAAGGCGACUUUCUGGUCUGUAACUGACGCUGAUGUGCGAAAGCGUGGGGAUCAAACA
rnacentral:rRNA from 1 species